AUUGAACGCUGGCGGCAGGCUUAACACAUGCAAGUCGAGCGGGGUGAUGGUGCUUGCACUAUCACUUAGCGGCGGACGGGUGAGUAAUGCUUAGGAAUCUGCCUAUUAGUGGGGGACAACAUCUCGAAAGGGAUGCUAAUACCGCAUACGUCCUACGGGAGAAAGCAGGGGAUCACUUGUGACCUUGCGCUAAUAGAUGUGCCUAAGUCGGGUUAGCUAGUUGGUGGGGUAAAGGCCUACCAAGGCGACGAUCUGUAGCGGGUCUGAGAGGAUGGUCCGCCACACUGGGACUGAGACACGGCCCGGACUCCUACGGGAGGCAGAAGUGGGGAAUAUUGGACAAUGGGGGGAACCCUGAUCCAGCCAUGCCGCGUGUGUGAAGAAGGCCUUAUGGUUGUAAAGCACUUUAAGCGAGGAGGAGGCUCUUUUGGUUAAUACCCAAGAUGAGUGGACGUUACUCGCAGAAUAAGCACCGGCUAACUCUGUGCCAGCCGCCGCAGUAA
rnacentral:rRNA from 1 species